CCAGUCUAUCAGCGCGUGUGGCGUCGCAGGACAAACGUAUGGCCCAGCUGGAAGGCAAGAUUCUGACCUCGACGGAAGCAGUCAUAGGAGCGAUAACACCAGCUUUGGGACGGGUGAGGAACUUCAGGUGGUACGGGACUCGCUACAUAACCUGUGUCUGAGCUUCAAGGGUACGGAUCCCCAGCAGUACACGAUAGACACACUGGAACAGAGCUUGUCAGCUCUCCUCGAUAAAAUCUCGAUGUCCGCAACCUCUUCGGUCGGCUGAGGGGACGCACAGAGUGGUCAUGACGUUACGUCACGGCGCCUGAACUUCGACUCGACGGGCGACGUUCGCCGAUCCCCGUUCACCUCCAUUCCGGGUAGUCAGACAAGUUUUCCCUACAAUCAUCUAGACGGCGGUGGCCAGCCGACCACAUCUACACCCAUCAGCUCUAAGGAGUCCACAAAAGUAUUAUACUUCACCGAUAAGUCCCUUAGUCCAUUCUCCUACACCAUACGUAAAAGGUAGGUAUACUUCACCGAUAAGUCCCUUAGAGGAACAGGAGAGUUGUCUCCCUUGACAAUAUUUACUUCCUGUAAUGUAAAGUGUUGACUAACAAAGAGGAACUACUCAUGGGUCGGAAUUUCUUGGAAGUGUAGUAAACUUAUUUUGUUCAGACAGGAUUAUCGAGAAAAGUUUUACUACAUUUAAAUAUUUUAUAGAACACCUCUUCAGAAAUGUUCCUCGUGUCCAAUCUAACUCAUUUUGAUUCACUUUUGUACACCACUGAAACCUCGGAAACGUCAGAACAAGUUACAUUUGAUAUAGUUGCUAGUGCUUUUUGUCCUUUCGUCACUGUGAUAUUCUCCGCCACUAGCAGCUUUCUCACUGCCUAUAUCGAGCGUCACCACGCUUCUGUUAAUAUUUGUGAGGUCAGUUUUACCUCUGACUUGUUACGUUGAACAAGGACAAGUAACCGUUCUGUUCUACAAGUCCUCUGUCCUCUGUCCUACAAGUCCUCUGUCCUCUGUCCUACAAGUCCUCUGUCCUCU